GUGUUGGUAGCUCAGUGGAUUAGAGUACAUGGUUCCGGACCUUUAAGUCAAGGGUUCAAAUCCCUUCUAGCCCG
rnacentral:tRNA from 1 species